ACCUGGGAUAGCUCAGUUGGUAGAGCAUGAGACUCUUAAUCUCAGGGCUCUGGGUUCAAAACCCACAUUGGGCA